rnacentral:misc_RNA from 1 species
CAACCCUCACCGCUUGCGAUGUCAAAGUCGCUCGAGGUGGAUUUGGACCGUGCCGCGUUUCGCGGCUCGUCUUGAAAUGCAUUAGCUUUCGCUCUUUAGAGUGCUCGGCACCGGUGUGAUAAUUAUCUGCGCCAACGCCUCAGGCCUCUUUGGUAGCGCUGCUUACAGUCGUCCCGACGGACAAUUUAUUAAAG